UACGUAGGUGGCAAGCGUUGUCCGGAUUUACUGGGCGUAAAGGGUGCGUAGGUGGCGCCGUGAGUCGGGUGUGAAAUUUCGGAGCUUAACUCCGAAACUGCAUUCGAUACUGCGGUGCUUGAGGACUGGAGAGGAGACUGGAAUUCAUGGUGUAGCAGUGAAAUGCGUAGAGAUCAUGAGGAAGACCAGUGGCGAAGGCGGGUCUCUGGACAGUUCCUGACACUGAGGCACGAAGGCCAGGGGAGCAAACGGG
rnacentral:rRNA from 1 species